rnacentral:rRNA from 1 species
UACGUAGGGAGCAAGCGUUGUCCGGAAUCAUUGGGCGUAAAGCGCGCGUAGGUGGCUUCAUAAGUCCGUUGUGAAAGUCAAAGGCUCAACCUUUGAAAGCCGAUGGAUACUGUGAAGCUAGAGUACGGAAGAGGCGAGUGGAAUUCCUGGUGUAGCGGUGGAAUGCGCAGAUAUCAGGAGGAACACCAAUAGCGAAGGCAGCUCGCUGGGACAUUACUGACACUGAGGCGCGAAAGCGUGGGGAGCGAACAGG